AACGAACGCUGGCGGCAGGCUUAACACAUGCAAGUCGAGCGCCCCGCAAGGGGAGCGGCAGACGGGUGAGUAACGCGUGGGAACCUACCUAGAGGUGCGGAAUAACUCAGGGAAACUUGAGCUAAUACCGCAUGAGCCCGAGAGGGGAAAGAUUUAUCGCCUUUAGAUGGGCCCGCGUCAGAUUAGCUAGUUGGUGAGGUAACGGCUCACCAAGGCGACGAUCUGUAGCUGGUCUGAGAGGAUGAUCAGCCACAUUGGGACUGAGACACGGCCCAAACUCCUACGGGAGGCAGCAGUGGGGAAUAUUGGACAAUGGGCGCAAGCCUGAUCCAGCCAUGCCGCGUGAGUGAUGACGGCCUUAGGGUUGUAAAGCUCUUUCGACGGG
rnacentral:rRNA from 1 species